CUGAAUAAUUUCUUACCAAUGAAAAAUCUGCUAUAUUAUGAACAAAAACGCAGCCUACUAUCCUGUAAUUCUGAAUGUGUACAAAAUCUCAAAUGCAUGUCUGUUACCAUCUAUGAAAAUAACUGUUAUUUUUACUCCACAAGAAAUCAUGGUAAUAUAACAAGGACAAAUGGUGCUGUGACAUCUGUUAUGACUACAGAUACAAAAUUAUGGUAUGAUGGUUACACAUGUAACAUAGAAUUACUGUGGUGUUAUAAAUAUCACGAUGUCAAUGUGAUCUGGACAGACGCUCAAGAAAUUUGUUUAACAGAAGGUGGUAAUCUACUGACUAUAGAUACAAUGGAAAAACAGAAUAUUAUAUCCAAUGUAACAAGCACUAAAGGCAGUAUCCGCUAUUUCACUGGAAUAAAUGACAUAAAUCAAGAGGGGACUUUUGUGGAUAUCCACGGCAACCCGAUACAAUUUGACUUUUGGGAUGCUAGUCAACCAAAUGGUGGCGUCAACCAAAAUUGUAUG